UGCAAUUGGACUACCAUUUACGUCAGCAGCUGCAAAGGAUCCAAACUCAAAUACUGCUGGGUACGAUACCUAUGAAGUCUCUACGUACAUAAGGGUUGAAUAGUGGAGGUGGGAACCUGAGAGGUUGGUGAUCCUGCAACUAUGAGAUCAAUUUUCUUUUAACAUAUUAAACUUAUUCUUUUCCAUGGAUUAUUGUAUCUCAAAAAUAUUUAGAUUUAUGAAGGGAUGGCUACCU
rnacentral:lncRNA from 1 species